rfam:Glossina pallidipes unplaced genomic scaffold Scaffold271, whole genome shotgun sequence.
CCACUCUGGCUUCUCCUCAGUUGUCGAACAAAUCUUUCGCCUUUUACUAAAGAUUUCCGUGGAGAGGAGCACUCUAAUGAGUCUAAACAAUUUUUUUGUGGCUUAACCUAUUGGUUUAAGU